GGAUGUAUCUCAAAAUGGCGGCCUGCUCCCUACAUUAAUGUCCUAUGUAGGGUGUGAAAUAACGGCUUCCAGUACUGUGUGUAGCGCGUAGGGCGCUAGCAGUGCGGUUUGAGACACGACCGCUGCUUGUGGAGCCAAUUUCAACCGGGUGUGAGUCAUGGCGCAGCAGGACGAGGACAGCGCCCCCACUAAGCGCAGUAAGACCCUGAUCGUGAGGCACCUGCCUGCAGACCUGAGCCGAGAGGAGAAGGAGGACCUGCUGGUGUACUUCGGUGCCUCGUCCGUGCGCGUGCUCUCCGAUAAAGGCCCUUUAAAACACACCGCUUUUGCUACGUUCAACAGCGAGACUUCAGCCUCGAAGGCUCUUCGGAGGCUCCAUCAGAUGAGGAUUCUGGGUCACACGCUGGUCGUGGAGUUUGCGAAAGAUCAAGAGAACGUCAUCGUGUUGAAGAGUCCGAAAGUUUCCGACAGGUUUGCAGAUGAUCCGGAUGAAAAGGAGAAGAAGGAGAGUCAGCAGCCGAGCGUUCCUCUCAUCGAGACCGGCAUCGCUCCCAGUCUCGGGUUAAAAUUCCAAGCGAAUCCGACACUGAAAUAUUUAUACCCUCCCCCUUCGAGUGCCAUCCUGACGAACAUCACACACACCCUCCUGAGCGUGCCCAAGUUCUACGUUCAGGUUCUUCACCUGAUGAAUAAGAUGAACCUGCCGUGUCCGUUCGGACCCGUAACCACCCCUCCUCCAGCGUACACAAUGGCUCACGGCCCGUUGCCCCCGAUGGUGCCCCCGCCCCCUGCGUUACCCCCGGAGAACCCCCCUCUGCCUGAGGGCACCAGCGAUGAAGAGGAGGAGUCUGAGUACGAGAGCGGAGAUGAUGAAGAUAAAGAGAGGAUGAUCAGGCUGAUGGGGCUCGUUAACCAUCCAUGCAAACGACCUCUGAGAACAAAGAUGGCCGCCACGAGGAAGAAACCCAAACUGAAGGACCUGCUGUUUACCCCCAAACCUGAACCGCACAGCGCUCCAGGUCCCGCUCUCAGGCCCUCUGACGUGUUCGAGCAGCCGCUUCAUCUCGGACCCAAGAAGAUCGAGUUCCACAUCCCGGCUGAGACGAGUGUGAGAGCGCAGGAGGAGGAGGAGCAGCAGCAGGAGGAGGAGGAGGAGGAGGAGGAGGAGACUCGGGAGAAAGCAGCAGACUCAGCGGAGCAGGAAGCAGGAGGAUCGGGAUUUGGGAAGCUGUAUCCCAGCACACAGAGCUGCAGAGAGGAAGAGAGUGGAGAAGAAGAAGAUGAAAUCCCCUCUGAGUUCAUCUCCAGGAGAGAGCUGGAGAGAGGCCGACUCUCCAGAGAUGACAUGAAGAGGAUGUCUGUGUUUAAGAACUACGAACCCGGAGAACCAACAUGCAGGCUUUAUGUGAAGAACAUCGCCAAACAAGUGGAAGAAAAAGACCUGAAGUAUAUCUACAGCAGGUACAUCGAUACAUCAUCAGAGGACGAGAGGAACAGGUUUGAUAUUGUUUUAAUGAAGGAGGGAAGAAUGAAAGGUCAAGCCUUCAUCGGGCUCCCCAGUGAGAAAAGUGCAGAGAAGGCCUUGAGGGACACGAACGGAUACGUCCUACACGACAAGCCCCUAGUGGUUCAAUUUGCUCGAUCUGCGAAACCUAAACAAGACGCGGUGGAUUCGAAGACUGGAAGCAAAAAACACUAAGCGGAUGUUGAAGUCACGUUAAGACACGUCAGUCACGGCUCUGCAGCACAGUGUGUGUAUCCUUAAUCCUGCAUAUCCUUUCACAGACUGACUCUCCCAGGUGAAGAAUCUCCUCCUCAGCGUCCUCACAAGACGUUCAUCACUCUCUCCGAGUCCAUACUACAGUCAUUACUGUGUGUCAUUGAUGUAACGUGAUGAAAAUAAAUAAAACAUUUUACAUCAGUA